GGCUCAGAUUGAACGCUGGCGGCAUGCCUUACACAUGCAAGUCGAACGGCAGCACGGACUUCGGUCUGGUGGCGAGUGGCGAACGGGUGAGUAAUGUAUCGGAACGUACCUUUCAGUGGGGGAUAACGUAGCGAAAGUUACGCUAAUACCGCAUAUUCUGUGAGCAGGAAAGCAGGGGAUCGCAAGACCUUGCGCUGAUUGAGCGGCCGAUAUCAGAUUAGCUAGUUGGUGAGGUAAAGGCUCACCAAGGCGACGAUCUGUAGCGGGUCUGAGAGGAUGAUCCGCCACACUGGAACUGAGACACGGUCCAGACUCCUACGGGAGGCAGCAGUGGGGAAUUUUGGACAAUGGGGGCAACCCUGAUCCAGCCAUGCCGCGUGAGUGAAGAAGGCCUUCGGGUUGUGAAGCUCUUUCGGCCGGGAAGAAAUCGCAUGGGCUAAUACCCUGUGCGGAUGACGGUACCGGCAUAAGAAGCACCGGCUAACUACGUG
rnacentral:rRNA from 1 species